rnacentral:rRNA from 1 species
UAGGUACAGGUUGAGAUUGCAGGUCGGAACGCUUCUUUUUCCACCGGAGCUUGCUCCACCGGAAAAAGAGGAGUGGCGAACGGGUGAGUAACACGUGGGUAACCUGCCCAUCAGAAGGGGAUAACACUUGGAAACAGGUGCUAAUACCGUAUAACAAUCGAAACCGCAUGGUUUUGAUUUGAAAGGCGCUUUCGGGUGUCGCUGAUGGAUGGACCCGCGGUGCAUUAGCUAGUUGGUGAGGUAACGGCUCACCAAGGCGACGAUGCAUAGCCGACCUGAGAGGGUGAUCGGCCACAUUGGGACUGAGACACGGCCCAAACUCCUACGGGAGGCAGCAGUAGGGAAUCUUCGGCAAUGGACGAAAGUCUGACSRRGCAACGCCGSSKKRAGGUGAAGAAGGUUUUCGGAUCGUAAAACUCUGUUGUUAGAGAAGAACAAGGAUGAGAGUAACUGUUCAUCCCUUGACGGUAUCUAACCAGAAAGCCACGGCUAACUACGUGCCAGCAGCCGCGGUAAUACGUAGGUGGCAAGCGUUGUCCGGAUUUAUUGGGCGUAAAGCGAGCGCAGGCGGUUUCUUAAGUCUGAUGUGAAAGCCCCCGGCUCAACCGGGGAGGGUCAUUGGAAACUGGGAGACUUGAGUGCAGAAGAGGAGAGUGGAAUUCCAUGUGUAGCGGUGAAAUGCGUAGAUAUAUGGAGGAACACCAGUGGCGAAGGCGGCUCUCUGGUCUGUAACUGACGCUGAGGCUCGAAAGCGUGGGGAGCAAACAGGAUUAGAUACCCUGGUAGUCCACGCCGUAAACGAUGAGUGCUAAGUGUUGGAGGGUUUCCGCCCUUCAGUGCUGCAGCUAACGCAUUAAGCACUCCGCCUGGGGAGUACGACCGCAAGGUUGAAACUCAAAGGAAUUGACGGGGGCCCGCACAAGCGGUGGAGCAUGUGGUUUAAUUCGAAGCAACGCGAAGAACCUUACCAGGUCUUGACAUCCUUUGACCACUCUAGAGAUAGAGCUUCCCCUUCGGGGGCAAAGUGACAGGUGGUGCAUGGUUGUCGUCAGCUCGUGUCGUGAGAUGUUGGGUUAAGUCCCGCAACGAGCGCAACCCUUAUUGUUAGUUGCCAUCAUUUAGUUGGGCACUCUAGCAAGACUGCCGGUGACAAACCGGAGGAAGGUGGGGAUGACGUCAAAUCAUCAUGCCCCUUAUGACCUGGGCUACACACGUGCUACAAUGGGAAGUACAACGAGUCGCAAAGUCGCGAGGCUAAGCUAAUCUCUUAAAGCUUCUCUCAGUUCGGAUUGUAGGCUGCAACUCGCCUACAUGAAGCCGGAAUCGCUAGUAAUCGCGGAUCAGCACGCCGCGGUGAAUACGUUCCCGGGCCUUGUACACACCGCCCGUCACACCACGAGAGUUUGUAACACCCGAAGUCGGUGAGGUAACCUUUGGAGCCAGCCACCUAUAGAGUAACCCC